CUUUCAGUGAGAGCCUAGGAGUAAUUGAUUCUCUCAGAAUCGAUUUUGAAAUGUUUUGUUUUCCUUGCCUUCUUGUAUGAAAGUUGAGCUGAGUUUAGACUUCUAGGUAGAGAAAUUUGCACAGUCUUCUGGCAUUUCCUGUUUCGAUGAGAAGCCUACUCUCAUUUGUCAUUCUUGGGAGGAAGGAUAGAGAAAAUAGAAGAUAUCGAGAGGAAAGAGCAAAAAGUUUUGCUUUUUUAUUCUGAGAAAGUAAUGCAUAUUUCUGCUCAUGAAUCAGAAUUUCCAAGUAAUCCAGACAGUGAGCCUCCACUGAGAACAAAGAAGAUCUUCAAAGCCACCAGUCAGCCAAAGAGGUCAUAAGUGAGAACCUCUCAGUGAGAUGCCAGGACUUCUGGAGAGAACUCCUACUAGAAUUCCUCAGAAUCAGCACAGCAAUGUUUUGCCCAGGCCCCCUUCCCUGCCCUGGUAAGACUGGAGUUGCUUCACCCUGGCCAUUAAAUUGGAAAUAAAAUGUCUUUGCGUAGAUGAUACCUGUUAGCCUGAUGGAAGAACUUCUUGUAUUAUGUUUUUUUUUUCUAAUUUAGUUAGAAAAGUACCUUAAUCAGAAUUCAAAGAUGCAUAAGCGUACUGUCUUUAAAAUUGUCACAUUGGUAAGUUAUGUAGAUUUUUAAAAACAUUACUGCCAUUUAUCAAGGCACUUGGAGAGUAUGUCCUUUAGAAUUAUAUUCCAAGUCCUUUCAAAGCUACAUUCAUUCCUUAGCCUAUUCUCAAAACAAAUUGGAGAGGAUAGGCUUACAGCAUAACCUCCUAGAAUAGGCAAAGACACCUACAAAUACUUAUUAAGCUACCUCUUGUCUUUCCAAACUUGCUUACAGUCAGAAAGUCUAACCUAUUUAGAAAGUAAGUCCAUUCAGUUUUAUGUGUGAGAAUGGUAACAGUCUAAUCACUUCCAUUCUUUGGAUACUAAUGACUUUGGGAUAUUUCCAAAACCAGAUGUACUUUCAAAAAAUGGCUAUUUGAAAUUACUUAGUAAUGCCUAGUGAAUUAGCUUUUUCUACUUAAAGGUAGACUUCAGCUCUUCAACAAUACCUACAAAAUCACAUAGGUCUUCUUGGUAUAUGCAAAUUUUUUUGUUCCUUCUUUGUAACUGUACGUAAAGAUGGAUUCUCAAUAUUAAUGGGGAUAUUCACAUCUCUGAAUUACUGGAACCAAUAUUUUUCUAAUUGAUAUAAAGCUAGAUAUUUUCAAAUUUUAUUAGAUGUUAUUGUCAGGUGCUAAGUCAAUUGUGUAAUAUAUUAUUAAACAAUGUAAAGAAGUUUCUCAACAUGUUACCUAUUUCAAUAAAAAUAAUUUUUGCAACAGCAUAUGGUUUUGAAUUAAAAAUAGAAAAUAA
rnacentral:lncRNA from 10 species